CUGAAAACCUAGCUUACUUUAUUUUUAUGAAUAUACCACCAUAACACAUACUAAAUAAAACAUUUUGUACAUUGAGUAAAGGCGAUUAAAAAAUGUCUAAAAGCUAUAGAAACUAGUACCGCAAGGGAAAAGUGAAAUAUUAAUGAAAAACCUCAAGCACAAAAAAGUAGAGCUAUAACCUCGUACCUUUUGCAUCAUGGUCUAACUAGUUCAACCAAGCAAAAUGAAUUUUAAGUUUGACUUCCCGAAACUAGGUGAGCUACUUAAAAACAGCCUUACGGGCCAACCCGUCUCUGUUGCAAAAGAUUUGGAAAAUUUUUAAGUAGAGGUGACAGACCUACCGAACCUAGAGAUAGCUGGUUAUUCAGGAAAAGGAUUUAUUUCCUACAUUAAGUUUACUGUACAUUAUAAUACACAACUAACUUUAAGAGCUAUUCAAAUAAGGUACAGCCUAUUUGAAGCAGGAUACAACCUCCACA
rnacentral:rRNA from 1 species